rnacentral:tRNA from 1 species
GGGGAUAUAGCUCAGUUGGGAGAGCACCUGCCUUGCAAGCGAGGGGGUCAGGGUUCGAAUCCCCUUAUCUCCA